rnacentral:rRNA from 1 species
ACAGCAGCGCCGCGGUAAUACAGAGGAUGCAAGCGUUAUCCGGAAUUACUGGGCGUAAAGCGUGCGUGGGCGGUUCGUUAAGUCUGUUGUGAAAGCCCCGGGCUCAACCUGGGAAUGGCAAUGGAUACUGGCGAGCUAGAGUGUGUCAAAGGAUGGUGGAAUUCCCGGUGUAGCGGUGAAAUGCGUAGAGAUCGGGAGGAACAUCAGUGGCGAAGGCGGCCAUCUGGGACAACACUGACGCUGAGGCACGAAAGCGUGUGGAGCAAACAGGAUUAGAUACCCCCGUAGUCCCUGUCUCUUAUACC